rnacentral:rRNA from 1 species
UUUUCAUUGGAGAGUUUGAUCCUGGCUCAGGACGAACGCUGGCGGCGUGCUUAACACAUGCAAGUCGAACGGAAAGGCCCCUUUGGGGGUACUCGAGUGGCGAACGGGUGAGUAACACGUGAGUAACCUGCCCUUGACUUCGGGAUAACUUCAGGAAACUGGGGCUAAUACCGGAUAGGAAUCCUUGCUGCAUGGUGGGGGUUGGAAAGCUUCGGCGGUUUUGGAUGGACUCGCGGCUUAUCAGCUUGUUGGUGGGGUAGUGGCUUACCAAGGCUUUGACGGGUAGCCGGCCUGAGAG